UAGGGAAUCUUCGGCAAUGGACGAAAGUCUGACCGAGCAACGCCGCGUGAGUGAAGAAGGUUUUCGGAUCGUAAAACUCUGUUGUUAGAGAAGAACAAGGACGUUAGUAACUGAACGUCCCCUGACGGUAUCUAACCAGAAAGCCACGGCUAACUACGUGCCAGCAGCCGCGGUAAUACGUAGGUGGCAAGCGUUGUCCGGAUUUAUUGGGCGUAAAGCGAGCGCAGGCGGUUUCUUAAGUCUGAUGUGAAAGCCCCCGGCUCAACCGGGGAGGGUCAUUGGAAACGGGGGGACGUGAGUGCAGAAGAGGAGAGUGGAAUUCCAUGUGUAGCGGUGAAAGGCGUAGAUAUAUGGAGGAAAACCAGUGGCGAAGGCGGCUCUCUGGUCUGUAACUGACGCUGAGGCUCGAAAGCGUGGGGAGCAAACAGG
rnacentral:rRNA from 1 species